UACGUAGGGGGCUAGCGUUGUCCGGAUUUAUUGGGCGUAAAGAGCGUGUAGGCGGCCAGGUAGGUCCGGUGUGAAAACUCGAGGCUUAACCUCGAGAUGUCAUCGGAAACCAUCUGGCUAGAGUCCGGAAGAGGAAAGUGGAGUUCCUGGUGUAGCGGUGAAAUGCGCAGAUAUCAGGAAGAACACCAAUGGCGAAAGCAGCUUUCUGGGACGGUACUGACGCUGAGACGCGAAAGCGUGGGGAGCGAACAGG
rnacentral:rRNA from 1 species